CCCCUGUCAGGGUCGCAUCUGGAGAGUUUCUAAUACUCUACUAGUCUCGACUAAACCCGGGGAGAGUCAAGCAGAGGCCGGUCCAUUCCAUUCCUAGCUUGGCCAGUGGCUAGCGAGUGGAAGGCAAUCUGCUACAAGU